rfam:Ixodes scapularis strain Wikel colony gcontig_1107728733462, whole genome shotgun sequence.
UCAACGGCUCUUUUCAGAGCCACCAGAUUGCUGCUUUUUCGGGCAC